rnacentral:piRNA from 1 species
UCCAUUUUCCUUUGGGUGAGCCUGCCUGGU